CCUACGGGAGGCUGCAGUGGGGAAUAUUGCACAAUGGGGGAAACCCUGAUGCAGCGACGCCGCGUGAGUGAAGAAGUAUUUCGGUACGUAAAGCUCUAUCAGCAGGGAAGAAAAAAAGUCCUUUGGACUGUGGACGGUACCGGACCAAGAAGCCCCGGCUAACGACGUGCCAGCAGCCGCGGUAAUACGUAGGGGGCAAGCGUUAUCCGGAUUUACUGGGUGGAAAGGGAGCGUAGACGGCAGCGCAAGUCUGGAGUGAAAUGCCGGGGCCCAACCCCGGAACUGCUUUUGAAACUGUGCAGCUGGAUUGCAGGAGAGGUAAGCGGAAUUCCUAGUGUAGCGGUGAAAUGCGUAGAUAUUAGGAGGAACACCAGUGGCGACGGCGGCUUACUGGACUGUAACUGACGUUGAGGCUCGAAAGCGUGGGGAGCAAACAGGAUUAGAUACCCGAGUAGUC
rnacentral:rRNA from 1 species